rnacentral:rRNA from 1 species
GCGCUAACUUCUCCAAUUUAGCCAAAGCGAGUUGCACGUUUAACGUAACAAACUGCUCAGUAACACGUGGCCAAACUGCCCUAUGGAUCGGUAUAACCUCGGGAAACUGAGGCUAAUCCCGAAUAGUGCAUCCAGCCUGGAACUGGCGGAUGUGCGAAACGCUCCGGCGCCAUAGGAUGUGGCUGCGGCCGAUUAGGUAGACGGUGGGGUAACGGCCCACCGUGCCGAUAAUCGGUACGGGUCAUGAGAGUGAGAGCCCGGAGACGGACUCUGAGACACGAGUCCGGGCCCUACGGGGCGCAGCAGGCGCGAAACCUUUACACUGCACGACAGUGCCGAUAGGGGGACACCGAGUGCGAGGGCAUAGAGCCCUCGCUUUUGUAGACCGUAAGGAGGUCUACGAAUAAGGGCUGGGCAAGACCGGUGCCAGCCGCCGCGGUAACACCGGCAGCCCAAGUGAUGGCCGAUAUUAUUGGGCCUAAAGCGUCCGUAGCUGGCCGCGNAAGUUCGUCGGGAAAUCCACUCGCUUAACGAGUGGGCGUCCGGCGAAAACUGUGCGGCUUGGGACCGGAAGAUCCAAGGGGUACGUCCGGGGUAGGAGUGAAAUCCCGUAAUCCUGGACGGACCACCGAUGGCGAAAGCACCUUGGAAGGACGGAUCCGACAGUGAGGGGACGAAAGCUAGGGUCUNGAACCGGAUUAGANACCCNGGUANUCCUAACCGUUAACAAUGCUCG